CCUACGGGAGGCAGCAGUGAGGAAUAUUGGUCAAUGGACGAGAGUCUGAACCAGCCAAGUAGCGUGAAGGAUGACUGCACAAUGGGUUGUAAACUUCUUUUAUAAAGGAAUAAAACGAGGCACGUGUGCCUUGUUGCAUGUACUUUAUGAAUAAGGAUCGGCUAACUCCGUGCCAGCAGCCGCGGUAAUACGGAGGAUCCGAGCGUUAUCCGGAUUUAUUGGGUUUAAAGGGAGCGUAGAUGGGUUGUUAAGUCAGUUGUGAAAGUUUGGGGAGCAACCGUAAAAUUGCCAUUGAUACUGGCAGUCUUGAGUACAGGUGAGGUAGGCGGAAUUCGUGGUGUAGCGGUGAAAUGCUUAGAGAUCACGAAGAACCCCGAUUGCGAAGGCAGCUUACUAAACUGUGACUGACAUUGAUGCUCGAAAGUGUGGGUAUCAAACAGGAGUAGAUACCCUUGUAGUC
rnacentral:rRNA from 1 species